rnacentral:piRNA from 1 species
UGGGUAUUUCAACAGUCAGUGUUCUA